GAUGAACGCUGGCGGCGUGCCUAAUACAUGCAAGUCGAGCGAAAGGAUUAAGAGCUUGCUCUUAUGAAGUUAGCGGCGGACGGGUGAGUAACACGUGGGUAACCUGCCCAUAAGACUGGGAUAACUCCGGGAAACCGGGGCUAAUACCGGAUAACAUUUUGAACCGCAUGGUUCGAAAUUGAAAGGCGGCUCCGGCUGUCACUUAUGGAUGGACCCGCGUCGCAUUAGCCAGUUGGUGAGGUAACGGCUAACAAAGGCAACGAUGCGUAGCCGACCGGAGAGGGUGAUCGGCCACACUGGGACUGAGACACGGCCCAGACUCCUACGGGAGGCAGCAGUAGGGAAUCUUCCGCAAUGGACGAAAGUCUGACGGAGCAACGCCGCGUGAGUGAUGAAGGCUUUCGGGUCGUAAAACUCUGUUGUUAGGGAAGAACAAGUGCUAGUUGAAUAAGCUGGCACCUUGACGGUACCUAACCAGAAAGCCACGGCUAACUACGUGCCAGCCGCCGCAGUAA
rnacentral:rRNA from 1 species